rnacentral:rRNA from 1 species
GACGAACGCUGGCGGCGUGCUUAACACAUGCAAGUCGAACGGAAAGGGCCUGCUUUUGUGGGGUGCUCGAGUGGCGAACGGGUGAGUAACACGUGAGUAACCUGCCCUUGACUUUGGGAUAACUUCAGGAAACUGGGGCUAAUACCGGAUAGGAGCUCCUGCUGCAUGGGGGGGGGUGGAAAGUUUCGGCGGGUGGGGAUGGACUCGCGGCUUAUCAGCUUGUUGGUGGGGUAGUGGCUUACCAAGGCUUUGACGGGUAGCCGGCCUGAGAGGGUGACCGGCCACAUUGGGACUGAGAUACGGCCCAGACUCCUACGGGAGGCAGCAGUGGGGAAUAUUGCACAAUGGGCGGAAGCCUGAUGCAGCAACGCCGCGUGCGGGAUGACGGCCUUCGGGUUGUAAACCGCUUUCGCCUGUGACGAAGCGUGAGUGACGGUAAUGGGUAAAGAAGCACCGGCUAACUACGUG